UAGGGAAUCUUCCGCAAUGGGCGAAAGCCUGACGGAGCAACGCCGCGUGAGUGAUGAAGGUCUUCGGAUCGUAAAACUCUGUUAUUAGGGAAGAACAAAUGUGUAAGUAACUAUGCACGUCUUGACGGUACCUAAUCAGAAAGCCACGGCUAACUACGUGCCAGCAGCCGCGGUAAUACGUAGGUGGCAAGCGUUAUCCGGAAUUAUUGGGCGUAAAGCGCGCGUAGGCGGUUUUUUAAGUCUGAUGUGAAAGCCCACGGCUCAACCGUGGAGGGUCAUUGGAAACGGGAAAACUUGAGUGCAGAAGAGGAAAGUGGAAUUCCAUGUGUAGCGGUGAAAUGCGCAGAGAUAUGGAGGAACACCAGUGGCGAAGGCGACUUUCUGGUCUGUAACUGACGCUGAUGUGCGAAAGCGUGGGGAUCAAACAGG
rnacentral:rRNA from 2 species